UCGGGAAUUUUGGGCAAUGGGCGAAAGCCUGACCCAGCAACGCCGCGUGAAGGAUGAAGUAUUUCGGUAUGUAAACUUCGAAAGAAUAGGAAGAAUAAAUGACGGUACUAUUUAUAAGGUCCGGCUAACUACGUGCCAGCAGCCGCGGUAAUACGUAGGGACCAAGCGUUGUUCGGAUUUACCGGGCGUAAAGGGCGCGUAGGCGGCAAUUCAAGUCAUCUGUGAAAUCUCCGGGCUUAACUCGGAACGGUCAGAUGAUACUGCUUUGCUAGAGUGCAGAAGGGGCAAUCGGAAUUCUUGGUGUAGCGGUGAAAUGCGUAGAUAUCAAGAGGAACACCUGAGGUGAAGACGGGUUGCUGGGCUGACACUGGCGCUGAGGCGCGAAAGCCAGGGGAGCAAACGGGAUUAGAUACCCCCGUAGUCCCUGAGCGGGCUGGCAAGGCGCAU
rnacentral:rRNA from 1 species